rnacentral:rRNA from 1 species
UACAGAGGGGGCAAGCGUUAUUCGGAAUUAUUGGGUUUAAAGGGUGCGUAGGCGGGUUAUUAAGUCAGUGGUGAAAGCCUUCAGCUUAACUGAAGAAUUGCCAUUGAUACUGAUGAUCUUGAGUAUGAUUGAGGUGGGCGGAAUGUGUCAUGUAGCGGUGAAAUGCUUAGAUAUGACACAGAACACCGAUUGCGAAGGCAGCUCACUAAGUCAUAACUGACGCUGAUGCACGAAAGCGUGGGGAGCAAACAGG